AACACAAAACCAAAUAUAUAUAUAUAUAUACAUGUUAUUUUAUAAUAUGUCAUUCAUAACAUAUUCAUUUCUGUUUCUUAGAUCUAAGAUAUGUUUACAUUUAGUGUGUCAGCAAAAAAAUAAUGUUCUGUAUAAAACAUGACACCUUUGUACAUAUAAUAUGCAUACAGUAUACUUCUUUCAUAAUGCAAUUUAAUAAUAUGCAUUUUAAAGCAUCGUAAAAAUUAUUGUAGAGAAUUAUUUAGAACAUAGGAAUUUGCAUUAUUUCAUUUCACUUAUCUCAAUAUGCAUGUACAAAGUUUUGCUUACGAUAGAAAGAUAAUUAGAAAGAAACACGCCUUUGUGUUUAUUUUCUGUCAUUUUUUCCUACAUUUUUUUUUUCAAAGUUAGUUAUCUAUGCAAAGCACAAUAGUAGAAAGGUCAAAAGCUAAAGAUAAUAUUUUACAAUGAAAUUUUAACAGAAAAUCACGUAUAAAUUUCAGAUGCUGUAUAUACUUAGAAAAAUGAACGUUUUUAUAUUACUUUUUUAAUAAAAUUGAUAAAUUAAAUUAAAUAUAUCAGUUAAAUAUGUAAAAAAAUAAAAAGGAUACAGUAUCAAGUGAUUCUAAUGUAAUCAUCAUAUAAUAAUAUUCGAUAAUAAUUACUAUUUAAAUAUAUAUAACAUGUAAAAAUAAUACUUAACAUUUCAUAAUAGAGUGUCUUUUUAAGGAUGAAUCUAAAAUCACAGUGGAUUUUAUGAAUCUUCACCGUCGAGAGACCGGUUUAGUGGAAUAUAUGCGAUAAAAAUAAAAAGAAAGGAAGGUGCACGUUUGUAAGAAGGGUAAAGCUGUUAAGAUAAGAUAGGGGUUAGAGUUCGUCAAGCGAGCUCCACGCUGCGCGGAGAUUCAGGAAUAACCACGAACUAGUUCAAGAUAUUGUGAUACGCGCGCACAUCUAUAACAUUCAAAUGAACAAACAGAAAAAAUCUAACAUGAUGGACGCAAUUGGCAAGAUUAAUGUAAGACAAUUAGUUCUCCUUGACUGAUACAUGUACAUUAUUGUACAUAUUUAUAUCGGUAUUUCAUUGGAUAUUUUUGUAUGUGAGAUACCUCUUUUUUUUUUUAAAUAUUGCUAAUCUACUCUAUAUCUAAAAUUAAAAAUUUUUUAUAUUUACAUGAAUAAAAAGGAACAAAAUGA